GUAGCUCAGUGGUAGAGCGUUCGCUUUGCCUGUGAAAGGCCCUGGGAUCGAUCCCCAAGUUCCUCCA